CUGUGGGAUAAAUGACGAGGGAGCCUGCUGACGCAUUAUGGUCUCCCUACAGAGUGAUUGGCACGGUGGCUAUAGGUUCUCACCCUUGGGAGGAUGCCAUGGAAACCAAAAGGAGCCUCUCCCGACUCUCCGAUUAAUUCUCUAAGCAUGCCUCUUGCAGACACAACCCACGCACUCUUUAAAACAUCUGAAUGGAUCAGUUUGAAUGAACCAUCGCAACCUCAAAAAGAUCAAGACGUGAGAGGAGGCACACUUGCGCUACCAGAAAAUAAAGAUGCUUGUUAACUGUACAUUAAAGAAAUUAAGAUAAUGUCUGGAUGGAUAAACAUACCGAUGGAACAGAAUAGGGAAGCAAGAUGCAGCCUCACCUUUAUGCAUAGUUUAUAAUAACAAAGGUGUCACAAAUUUAAAUAAUAAUAAAAGGUAGCACAACAGAGUUAGGGGAAAGGACCUACUUGACAUCCUGCUGUGUGCUUGCUUAUAGGGAAAGAAUAUGAAAUCGGAUUCUUGUUAACACUAAACACAGCAGAAAGUCCCAAGAGAAUUGUUGACCUGAAAGUGACAGAAGCGGUGAGCUUGGCUGACGACAUAGGGGAAUGCCUACACCUCAGUUUAAACAAAGCCCGAAUAAAACGCACAGACGAGGACUGUGCUACUCCAAGUACCAUCAGAAGAGUGAAAAUAUCUGGGCCUGUUGCUCAAUGGUGAACUGCAAGGCACUCAGGGCCUGGCAUACUAAGAGAAAAGACAUAUGGAUGUAUUUACAAGGCCAGGUGAAGUCUAGGUGUCAUACAAAGACCUGGAUAACAAUCCAUCCUCCUCAGUUGGCAAGAUGCAGCCAGCCCUGAGCGAUGGAGCUUCUGGUGCCUAGAAAUCUCCCGGAGAACUCGAAGACCCUGUCUGCUGUGGCGUCAGAGGUUUCUGCGCGUGGGAGGAGCCUGGGCACCACACAUGGCAUCUCAGGCCUUCUCAGCUUCCAUUGGCAGGGAAUCAUCAGCUCCGGCUCAGAGCUUUCCUGGCCAAAGCUGUGGGAAGCCACAUGUGCCGUUGCAUAGUGGCACUGACUACUGCUGGCCACC